rnacentral:rRNA from 1 species
AUUGCCCUAGUAACGGCGAGUGAAGCGGCAACAGCUCAAAUUUGAAAUCUGGCUCUCGGGCCCGAGUUGUAAUUUGUAGAGGAUGCUUUUGGCAAGGUGCCUUCCGAGUUCCCUGGAACGGGACGCCAUAGAGGGUGAGAGCCCCGUCUGGUUGGACACCGAGCCUCUGUAAAGCUCCUUCGACGAGUCGAGUAGUUUGGGAAUGCUGCUCUAAAUGGGAGGUAUAUGUCUUCUAAAGCUAAAUACUGGCCAGAGACCGAUAGCGCACAAGUAGAGUGAUCGAAAGAUGAAAAGCACUUUGAAAAGAGAGUUAAAAAGCACGUGAAAUUGUUGAAAGGGAAGCGCUUAUGACCAGACUUGGGCUUGGUUGAUCAUCCGGCGUUCUCGCCGGUGCACUCUUCCAGUUCAGGCCAGCAUCAGUUUGCCCCGGGGGAUAAAAGCUUCGGGAAUGUGGCUCCUCCGGGAGUGUUAUAGCCCGUUGCAUAAUACCCUGGGGCAGACUGAGGACCGCGCUUCGUGCAAGGAUGCUGGCGUAAUGGUCAUCAGCGACCCGUCUUGAAACACGGACCAAGGAGUCGUCUUCGUAUGCGAGUGUUCGGGUGUCAAACCCCUACGCGUAAUGAAAGUGAACGCAGGUGAGAGCUUCGGCGCAUCAUCGACCGAUCCUGAUGUUCUCGGAUGGAUUUGAGUAAGAGCAUACGGGGCCGGACCCGAAAGAAGGUGAACUAUGCCUGUGUAGGGUGAAGCCAGAGGAAACUCUGGUGGAGGCUCGCAGCGGUUCUGACGUGCAAAUCGAUCGUCAAACAUGGGCAUGGGGGCGAAAGACUAAU